AGCCCAGAGCCUGAAUCAGUGUGUGUGUUAGUGGAAGCGUCUGGAAAGGCGCGCGAUACAGGGUGACAGCCCCGUACACAAAAAUGCACAUGCUGUGAGCUCGAUGAGUAGGGCGGGACACGUGGUAUCCUGUCUGAAUAUGGGGGGACCAUCCUCCAAGGCUAAAUACUCCUGACUGACCGAUAGUGAACCAGUACCGUGAGGGAAAGGCGAAAAGAACCCCGGCGAGGGGAGUGAAAAAGAACCUGAAACCGUGUACGUACAAGCAGUGGGAGCACAGAGCAAUCUGUGUGACUGCGUACCUUUUGUAUAAUGGGUCAGCGACUUAUAUUCUGUAGCAAGGUUAACCGAAUAGGGGAGCCGAAGGGAAACCGAGUCUUAACUGGGCGUUAAGUUGCAGGGUAUAGACCCGAAACCCGGUGAUCUAGCCAUGGGCAGGUUGAAGGUUGGGUAACACUAACUGGAGGACCGAACCGACUAAUGUUGAAAAAUUAGCGGAUGACUUGUGGCUGGGGGUGAAAGGCCAAUCAAACCGGGAGAUAGCUGGUUCUCCCCGAAAGCUAUUUAGGUAGCGCCUCGUGAAUUCAUCUCCGGGGGUAGAGCACUGUUUCGGCAAGGGGGUCAUCCCGACUUACCAACCCGAUGCAAACUGCGAAUACCGGAGAAUGUUAUCACGGGAGACACACGGCGGGUGCUAACGUCCGUCGUGAAGAGGGAAACAACCCAGACCGCCAGCUAAGGUCCCAAAGUCAUGGUUAAGUGGGAAACGAUGUGGGAAGGCCCAGACAGCCAGGAUGUUGGCUUAGAAGCAGCCAUCAUUUAAAGAAAGCGUAAUAGCUCACUGGUCGAGUCGGCCUGCGCGGAAGAUGUAACGGGGCUAAACCAUGCACCGAAGCUGCGGCAGCGACGCUUAUGCGUUGUUGGGUAGGGGAGCGUUCUGUAAGCCUGUGAAGGUGUGCUGUGAGGCAUGCUGGAGGUAUCAGAAGUGCGAAUGCUGACAUAAGUAACGAUAAAGCGGGUGAAAAGCCCGCUCGCCGGAAGACCAAGGGUUCCUGUCCAACGUUAAUCGGGGCAGGGUGAGUCGACCCCUAAGGCGAGGCCGAAAGGCGUAGUCGAUGGGAAACAGGUUAAUAUUCCUGUACUUGGUGUUACUGCGAAGGGGGGACGGAGAAGGCUAUGUUGGCCGGGCGACGGUUGUCCCGGUUUAAGCGUGUAGGCUGGUUUUCCAGGCAAAUCCGGAAAAUCAAGGCUGAGGCGUGAUGACGAGGCACUACGGUGCUGAAGCAACAAAUGCCCUGCUUCCAGGAAAAGCCUCUAAGCAUCAGGUAACAUCAAAUCGUACCCCAAACCGACACAGGUGGUCAGGUAGAGAAUACCAAGGCGCUUGAGAGAACUCGGGUGAAGGAACUAGGCAAAAUGGUGCCGUAACUUCGGGAGAAGGCACGCUGAUAUGUAGGUGAAGUCCCUCGCGGAUGGAGCUGAAAUCAGUCGAAGAUACCAGCUGGCUGCAACUGUUUAUUAAAAACACAGCACUGUGCAAACACGAAAGUGGACGUAUACGGUGUGACGCCUGCCCGGUGCCGGAAGGUUAAUUGAUGGGGUCAGCGCAAGCGAAGCUCUUGAUCGAAGCCCCGGUAAACGGCGGCCGUAACUAUAACGGUCCUAAGGUAGCGAAAUUCCUUGUCGGGUAAGUUCCGACCUGCACGAAUGGCGUAAUGAUGGCCAGGCUGUCUCCACCCGAGACUCAGUGAAAUUGAACUCGCUGUGAAGAUGCAGUGUACCCGCGGCAAGACGGAAAGACCCCGUGAACCUUUACUAUAGCUUGACACUGAACAUUGAGCCUUGAUGUGUAGGAUAGGUGGGAGGCUU
rnacentral:rRNA from 1 species